rnacentral:rRNA from 1 species
CACGUAGGGGGCGAGCGUUGUCCGGAUUUAUUGGGCGUAAAGAGCUCGUAGGCGGUUCGAUAAGUCGGGUGUGAAAACUCUGGGCUCAACUCAGAGACGCCACCCGAUACUGUUGUGACUUGAGUCCGGUAGGGGAGUAUGGAAUUCCCGGUGUAGCGGUGAAAUGCGCAGAUAUCGGGAGGAACACCAGUGGCGAAGGCGGUACUCUGGGCCGUAACUGACGCUGAGGAGCGAAAGCAUGGGGAGCGAACAGG